CCUACGGGCGGCAGCAGUGAGGAAUAUUGGUCAAUGGACGAGAGUCUGAACCAGCCAAGUAGCGUGAAGGAUGACUGCCCUAUGGGUUGUAAACUUCUUUUAUAAAGGAAUAAAACGAGGCACGUGUGCCUUUUUGUAUGUACUUUAUGAAUAAGGAUCGGCUAACUCCGUGCCAGCAGCCGCGGUAAUACGGAGGAUCCGAGCGUUAUCCGGAUUUAUUGGGUUUAAAGGGAGCGUAGAUGGGUUGUUAAGUCAGUUGUGAAAGUUUGCGGCUCAACCGUAAAAUUGCAAUUGAUACUGGCAGUCUUGAGUACAGUUGAGGUAGGCGGAAUUCGUGGUGUAGCGGUGAAAUGCUUAGAUAUCACGAAGAACCCCGAUUGCGAAGGCAGCUUACUGAACUGUGACUGACAUUGAUGCUCGAAAGUGUGGGUAUCAAACAGGAUUAGAUACCCCGGUAGUC
rnacentral:rRNA from 1 species